rnacentral:rRNA from 1 species
UACGUAGGGGGCAAGCGUUGUCCGGGUUCAUUGGGCGUAAAGAGCGUGUAGGCGGCCAGGUAGGUCGGUUGUGAAAACUGGAGGCUCAACCUUCAGAGGUCGACCGAAACCAUCUGGCUAGAGUCCGGGAGAGGAGAGUGGAAUUCCUGGUGUAGCGGUGAAAUGUGCAGAUAUCAGGAAGAACACCCGUGGCGAAAGCGGCUCUCUGGAACGGUACUGACGCUGAGACGCGAAAGCGUGGGGAGCGAACAGG